GAAAAAAGAAAAUAAAUAGUCAAUUUAAAAGUAAAGGAGCGGAAGCGGAGCGAAAAAAGAUUGCCGGAGCGGAAACAGGUACCCUCUCCCGAUCCCUGCCUCCAACGCCUAUUUAUCAUCUUGAACCCCUGGAAGCUGCAAUUUUUAUUCGAUUGGUGUGAAAUUUUGUACGUACAAUAGUUAGCAGAAUCCAUGGUGGAAACAUUUUCGGCAAGAAAUCUAAUAAAUUAAAAGUAUAAAUGCAAAAACAAGAA
rnacentral:sRNA from 1 species